AUUGAACGCUGGCGGCAGGCCUAACACAUGCAAGUCGAACGGUAGCACAGAGAGCUUGCUCUCGGGUGACGAGUGGCGGACGGGUGAGUAAUGUCUGGGAAACUGCCCGAUGGAGGGGGAUAACUACUGGAAACGGUAGCUAAUACCGCAUAACGUCGCAAGACCAAAGUGGGGGACCUUCGGGCCUCACACCAUCGGAUGUGCCCAGAUGGGAUUAGCUAGUAGGUGGGGUAAUGGCUCACCUAGGCGACGAUCCCUAGCUGGUCUGAGAGGAGGACCAGCCACACUGGAACUGAGACACGGUCCAGACUCCUACGGGAGGCAGCAGUGGGGAAUAUUGCACAAGGGGCGCAAGCCUGAUGCAGCCAUGCCGCGUGUAUGAAGAAGGCCUUCGGGUUGUAAAGUACUUUCAGCGGGGAGGAAGGCGGUGAAGUUAAUAACUUCACCGAUUGACGUUACCCGCAGAAGAAGCACCGGCUAGCUCCGUGCCAGCAGCCGCCGUAA
rnacentral:rRNA from 1 species